rnacentral:rRNA from 1 species
UACGUAGGGUGCAAGCGUUGUCCGGAAUUAUUGGGCGUAAAGAGCUCGUAGGCGGUCUGUCGCGUCUGCUGUGAAAACUCGGGGCUUAACUCCGGGCCUGCAGUGGGUACGGGCAGACUAGAGUGCGGUAGGGGAGACUGGAAUUCCUGGUGUAGCGGUGAAAUGCGCAGAUAUCAGGAGGAACACCGGUGGCGAAGGCGGGUCUCUGGGCCGAUACUGACGCUGAGGCACGAAAGCGUGGGUAGCGAACCGG